GGGUGCGAACAUACCAGCACUAAUGCACCGGAUCCCAUCAGAACUCCGUAGUCAAGCGUGCUUGGGCGAGAAUAGUUCUAAGAUGAGCAAACAGUAUUCCGUUAUUUUAGAGAGAUCAUGUGAUAGAAGUAU
rnacentral:rRNA from 1 species